AAUUCUAGAGCUAAUACAUGCUAAAAACCUCGACUUCGGAAGGGGUGUAUUUAUUAGAUAAAAAACCAAUGCCCUUCGGGGCUCCUUGGUGAUUCAUAAUAACUUAACGAAUCGCAUGGCCUUGUGCCGGCGAUGGUUCAUUCAAAUUUCUGCCCUAUCAACUUUCGAUGGUAGGAUAGUGGCCUACCAUGGUUUCAACGGGUAACGGGGAAUUAGGGUUCUAUUCCGGAGAGGGAGCCUGAGAAACGGCUACCACAUCCAAGGAAGGCAGCAGGCGCGCAAAUUACCCAAUCCCGACACGGGGAGGUAGUGACAAUAAAUACUGAUACAGGGCUCUUUUGGGUCUUGUAAUUGGAAUGAGUACAAUUUAAAUCCCUUAACGAGGAACAAUUGGAGGGCAAGUCUGGUGCCAGCAGCCAAUGUAGGGCGGGUUCGUCCCCCCUACUGCUGACGCCAGAGAUGGUAAGGCGCGCUUCGGCGUGUUAAGCUUAUCAGUCGACUACCUAAGCACUUUGGGCGGGUAGCGGCAAGACAACCUGGAUCGGUGGAGGCUAAGGGAGGCAACUCCUAUGCUAAUACCGAGCUGAGCCGCGGGGCGACCCGUGGCCAGUGUAGAGCGCGCAAAGGUGUCGCCACUUUAUGAGUGGUUAAGGUACGUGCCGUCCCAUGCAAAAGCAUGCCGCUAACGUCAACCCCCAAAGGGUGAGCGUUAGCAGAUCUAGCAUCUAGUUAGUGGAGAUAGCUUCUCAAAGAAGCCUAUCAAUAACGGCCAGCAGCCGCGGUAAUUCCAGCUCCAAUAGCGUAUAUUAAAGUUGUUGCAGUUAAAAAGCUCGUAGUUGAACCUUGGGCCUGGUUGGCCGGUCCGCCUCACCGCGUGCACUGGUCCGACCGGGUCUUUCCUUCUGGGGAGCCGCAUGCCCUUCACUGGGUGUGUCGGGGAACCAGGACUUUUACUUUGAAAAAAUUAGAGUGUUCAAAGCAGGCCUAUGCUCGAAUACAUUAGCAUGGAAUAAUAGAAUAGGACGUGUGGUUCUAUUUUGUUGGUUUCUAGGACCGCCGUAAUGAUUAAUAGGGAUAGUCGGGGGCAUCAGUAUUCAAUUGUCAGAGGUGAAAUUCUUGGAUUUAUUGAAGACUAACUACUGCGAAAGCAUUUGCCAAGGAUGUUUUCAUUAAUCAGUGAACGAAAGUUAGGGGAUCGAAGACGAUUGUGCCAGUAUCUGGUCGUCGAUAGGGACCGAGCGUCCGCUAGUCCGUUCAUUCGGGCAACACCGUCCAAUUGCUGGGACCUCUUAAAGAUGCUCACUACGAAAGUGCACCGAAAAGGUGUAUGCCUCCUGGCCGUGAAAAUGUGAGCAUAUGACGCUACUUGUAGCUGAAAUAGACAACCAGCAGCCAAUCCCUACGCAGCCUAGGCUGUAUGGGUGCCGUUCACAGACUAAACGUCGGUGGGAGGGAGCCUAGGGCUGCCUUCUAAGAUAUAGUCGGACCACGGGCGAAAGCCGGUGGAGAGAAUGCAGAUACCGUCGUAGUCUUAACCAUAAACUAUGCCGACUAGGGAUCGGGCGAUGUUAUCUUUUUGACUCGCUCGGCACCUUACGAGAA
rnacentral:rRNA from 1 species